rnacentral:rRNA from 1 species
AUACGUAGGGUGCAAGCGUUAAUCGGAAUUACUGGGCGUAAAGCGUGCGCAGGCGGUUUUGUAAGACAGAGGUGAAAUCCCCGGGCUCAACCUGGGAACUGCCUUUGUGACUGCAAGGCUAGAGUACGGCAGAGGGGGAUGGAAUUCCGCGUGUAGUAGUGAAAUGCGUAGAUAUGCGGAGGAACACCGAUGGCGAAGGCAAUCCCCUGGGCCUGUACUGACGCUCAUGCACGAAAGCGUGGGGAGCAAACAGGAUUAGAUACCCUGGUAGUCCACGCCCUAAACGAUGUCAACUGGUUGUUGGGUCUUCAUUGACUCAGUAACGAAGCUAACGCGUGAAGUUGACCGCCUGGGGAGUACGGCCGCAAGGUUAAAACUCAAAGGAAUUGACGGGG